CUACGGGAGGCAGCAGUGAGGAAUAUUGCACAAUGGGGGGAACCCUGAUGCAGCAACGCCGCGUGGAGGAUGACGCAUUUCGGUGUGUAAACUCCUUUUAUAUGUCAAGAAAAUGACGGUAGCAUAUGAAUAAGCACCGGCUAACUCCGUGCCAGCAGCCGCGGUAAUACGGGGGGUGCAAGCGUUACUCGGAAUCACUGGGCGUAAAGGACGCGUAGGCGGGUUGGAAAGUCAGGUGUGAAAUCCUACAGCUUAACUGUAGAACUGCACUUGAAACUUCUAAUCUAGAGUAUGGGAGGGGGAGAUGGAAUUAGUGGUGUAGGGGUAAUAUCCGUAGAUAUCACUAGGAAUACCUAAAGCGAAGGCGAUCUCCUGGAACAUUACUGACGCUAAGGCGUGAAAGCGUGGGGAGCAAACAGGAUUAGAUACCCCCGUAGUC
rnacentral:rRNA from 1 species